rnacentral:tRNA from 1 species
GGGGGAUUAGCUCAGAUGGCUAGAGCGUUUGCAUGGCAUGCAAGAGGUCAUCGGUUCGAGCCCGAUAUUCUCCA